UACGAAGGGGGCGAGCGUUGUUCGGAAUUACUGGGCGUAAAGGGCGCGUAGGCGGCGACUCUAGUCAGAUGUGAAAGUCCUGGGCUUGAACCUGGGGACUGCAUUUGAUACUGGGUUGCUUGAAUUCGGGAGAGGAUAGUCGGAAUUCCCAGUGUAGAGGUGAAAUUCGUAGAUAUUGGGAAGAACACCGGUGGCGAAGGCGGCUAUCUGGACCGACAUUGACGCUGAGGCGCGAAAGCGUGGGGAGCAAACAGG
rnacentral:rRNA from 1 species